rnacentral:tRNA from 1 species
GCCGAAGUAGCUUAGCUGGUUAUAGCGCCAGACUCAUACUCUGGAGGUCACGGGAUCAUAUCCCGUCUUCGGCA